rnacentral:rRNA from 1 species
GACGAACGCUGGCGGCGUGCUUAACACAUGCAAGUCGAACGAUGAAGCCCUUCGGGGUGGAUUAGUGGCGAACGGGUGAGGAACACGUGAAGAAUCUGCCCUCCACUUUGGGAUAACUCCGGGAAACCGGGGCUAAUACCGAAUAUUGAAACAUAAGUGGCAUCACUGAGUUUUGAAAGAAUUUCGGUGGAGGAUGACUUCGCGGCCUAUCAGCUUGUUGGUGAGGUAAUGGCUCACCAAGGCGACGACGGGUAGCCGGCCUGAGAGGGCGACCGGCCACACUGGGACUGAGACACGGCCCAGACUCCUACGGGAGGCAGCAGUGGGGAAUAUUGGGCAAUGGACGAAAGUCUGACCCAGCGACGCCGCGUGCGGGAUGAAGGCC